rnacentral:lncRNA from 1 species
CUGCUGCUGAAGGUCAAUUCAGAAAAGCGUUUUGAUUUAAUCAAUUUAUGAAGUGAUAUAUUUCAUUUAAAGUUUGUAAUUAAUUAUGAUAAGGCAGGUGAAUUCACAUUAAAAUGAUAACCAUACUAGUUUUGUUUUAGGUACUGAUCUUGAUCAGAAGUAGUUGUGACCUUCCAUUCUAGAACGACAUUCUUUACCCCCAC